GAUAAUACGAUGAAGAGGAAUAGUAGAAUCUAUGAAGCAUUCAGAGAGUUGUCGGUUGGUGUGAGACAACAGUGGAACAGAUUUGAACUCGCCUCAGAGUAGCCCGCUGAAAGGAAGUAGGAUGGGAUGGAACCUGACCAUUAUAGCAGGAGGAUAUAAGAGAUUCUAUCUGUAUCUGUAACGAGAGCAUACAACAUGUAUGAAAUAGAGUGGUACCGCGUAUAACUUACGUCUCUAUA
rnacentral:ncRNA from 1 species